CACCUACGGGUGGCUGCAGUCGAGAAUCUUCCACAAUGGACGAAAGUCUGAUGGAGCGACGCCGCGUGAUUGAUGAAGUCCUUCGGGACGUAAAGAUCUUUUAUGAGGGAAGAAGUUUAUUGACGGUACCUCAUGAAUAAGGGGCUCCUAAUCUCGUGCCAGCAGGA
rnacentral:rRNA from 1 species